GUAGGUGGCAAGCGUUGUCCGGAAUUAUUGGGCGUAAAGCGCGCGCAGGCGGUUCUUUAAGUCUGAUGUGAAAGCCCACGGCUCAACCGUGGAGGGUCAUUGGAAACUGGAGAACUUGAGUACAGAAGAGGAAAGCGGAAUUCCACGUGUAGCGGUGAAAUGCGUAGAGAUGUGGAGGAACACCAGUGGCGAAGGCGGCUUUCUGGUCUGUAACUGACGCUGAGGCGCGAAAGCGUGGGGAGCAAACAGGGAUUAGAUACCCUGGUAGUCCACGCCGUAAACGAUGAGUGCUAAGUGUUAGGGGGUUUCCCGCCCCUUAGUGCUGCAGCUAACGCAUUAAGCACUCCCGCCUGGGGAUACGGCCGCAAGGCUG
rnacentral:rRNA from 1 species